GAUGAACGCUGGCGGCGUGCCUAAUACAUGCAAGUCGAGCGAACAGACGAGGAGCUUGCUCCUCUGACGUUAGCGGCGGACGGGUGAGUAACACGUGGAUAACCUACCUAUAAGACUGGGGGAACUUCGGGAAACCGGAGCUAAUACCGGAUAAUAUAUUGAACCGCAUGGUUCAAUAGUGAAAGACGGUUUUGCUGUCACUUAUAGAUGGAUCCGCGCCGGAUUAGCUAGUUGGUAAGGUAACGGCUUACCAAGGCAACGAUGCGUAGCCGACCUGAGAGGGUGAUCGGCCACACUGGAACUGAGACACGGUCCAGACUCCUACGGGAGGCAGCAGUAGGGAAUCUUCCGCAAUGGGCGAAAGCCUGACGGAGCAACGCCGCGUGAGUGAUGAAGGUCUUCGGAUCGUAAAACCCUGUUAUUAGGGAAGAACAAAUGCGUAAGUAACUAUGCACGUCUUGACGGUACCUAAUCAGAAAGCCACGGCUAACUACGUG
rnacentral:rRNA from 1 species